UUCAAGGCUGGAAGCACGGCUCUCAGAAAGCUUUGCUGGGAGGUCAGGGCUGGCAGAGACAGUGAUCUGUCUGUCUUUCCAUCAGCCCAUCAGCCUACUGCUCCCCAACCUCCCUCUCAGUCUCCAUCCUAGUCUCUUCCAGGAGGGCAAGGCCUGAGUCCAUCACCCAGGAAGGUCGGUGGCAGGAACUCACCUUUCAAGAUGCUGAAGUUGCUGCAGCUGGUCCUGCCACAUCUGGGAAUUUAUCCACCCAUUUGGCUGGGGCAGCCCCCGCCACAGAUCAGAAGAAGAAACUCAUCGGGCAGAUGGAGUCGGAAAGCUGGGAGGAAGCGCAGUCGGCAGUCUUCUUCCAGAGAUUCCAGGGCUGAGAAGUAGGAAUCUGAGUACAGAACUAUCCCUCAUAAGAUUUCCAGGAGUGAAAGGAG